AAACCCGGUGAUCUAGCCAUGGGCAGGUUGAAGGUUGGGUAACACUAACUGGAGGACCGAACCGACUAAUGUUGAAAAAUUAGCGGAUGACUUGUGGCUGGGGGUGAAAGGCCAAUCAAACCGGGAGAUAGCUGGUUCUCCCCGAAAGCUAUUUAGGUAGCGCCUCGUGAACUCAUCUUCGGGGGUAGAGCACUGUUUCGGCUAGGGGGCCAUCCCGGCUUACCAAACCGAUGCAAACUCCGAAUACCGAAGAAUGUUAUCACGGGAGACACACGGCGGGUGCUAACGUCCGUCGUGAAGAGGGAAACAACCCAGACCGCCAGCUAAGGUCCCAAAGUCAUGGUUAAGUGGGAAACGAUGUGGGAAGGCACAGACAGCCAGGAUGUUGGCUUAGAAGCAGCCAUCAUUUAAAGAAAGCGUAAUAGCUCACUGGUCGAGUCGGCCUGCGCGGAAGAUGUAACGGGGCUAAACCAUGCACCGAAGCUGCGGCAGCGACGCUUAGGCGUUGUUGGGUAGGGGAGCGUUCUGUAAGCCGUUGAAGGUGGCCUGUGAGGGUUGCUGGAGGUAUCAGAAGUGCGAAUGCUGACAUAAGUAACGAUAAAGCGGGUGAAAAGCCCGCUCGCCGGAAGACCAAGGGUUCCUGUCCAACGUUAAUCGGGGCAGGGUGAGUCGACCCCUAAGGCGAGGCUGAAAAGCGUAGUCGAUGGGAAACAGGUUAAUAUUCCUGUACUUGGUGUUACUGCGAAGGGGGGACGGAGAAGGCUAGGCUGGCCGGGCGACGGUUGUCCCGGUU
rnacentral:rRNA from 1 species